UCCCUCUUAGCUCAGUGGUAGAGCGCUUCACUAGUAUAAGCCUCGGAGGUGUUGAUAUUGAUGAAGAGGUCAGUCGUUCAAGUCGGCUAGAGGGAA